rnacentral:rRNA from 1 species
AUUGAACGCUGGCGGCAGGCCUAACACAUGCAAGUCGAGCGAGCGGCGGACGGGUGAGUAAUGUCUGGGAAACUGCCUGAUGGAGGGGGAUAACUACUGGAAACGGUAGCUAAUACCGCAUACCAUCAGAUGUGCCCAGAUGGGAUUAGCUAGUAGGUGGGGUAAUGGCUCACCUAGGCGACGACCCCGAGCUGGUCUGAGGGGAUGACCAGCCACACUGCAACUGAGGCACGGUCCGACUUCCUAGGGGAGGCAGCAGUGGGGAAUAUUGCACAAUGGGCGCAAGCCUGAUGCAGCCAUGCCGCGUGUAUGAAGAAGGUCUUCGGAUUGUAAAGCGCUUUAAGUUGGGAGGCGUUACCAACAGAAUAAGCACCGGCUAACUUCGUGCCAGCAGCCGCGGUAAUUC